rnacentral:lncRNA from 1 species
CAGAGGCACAAAAAGUCAGAGGUCAUUUUUUAUAUGCAGUAGGUUCUCAUAUAUUCAAGAACGUCUGGACGUGUAAAGUGUCUGUAUAAGACUGAGUCAUCUCUUCUAUGAUGGGAUUUCUUAGGGCUAUUGCUGUAAGAACUGCUUGUGAUAAGAACCUCUCUCUGGUAAUGUGUUCUGCCACCCCAUGCGUCCUGUCUGAACCACCUCGUUACCUGGCAGUGGCCGUGCUCAUCACUGGGACUGCAGCUGGCAGGGAGUUCCUCUGGGGCCCAGUCCGAAGCACCGGUCUGGCAGCUGCGACGUACCAAUGCUUCCCGCUCCCUAUUGAUGUCACUUGGAGAUCUGAUUGUCAACAUCACCAGGAAAAGCCACAAGAUACUGCAUAAAGCCCAGAACAACUGAAAGCUGGAGGACUUCUUUCAGGAGACACAUUUUUCACUGGUUUAUCAGCCUGUGCUUUUAUGGAUCUUUUAUGGAUAUAAGGACAAGUUCGACUUCCUUCUCCGUUUAGCUGACAUCAUUUACAGUUGGAUGCACCAUAGACGGACGGAACGCCGAAAUAUUGCAGCUGCAGACGGAGCGAAGGGCCGCGAUCAGCGCAGCGUGAGCUCCCCCUGCCCGCCGCUGCGGGAGGAGCUGCGGUUCCCCUUCUCGGCCCUUUCCCCAUUUUCAUCUCGCCCCCUACAGCCCGUGAACGAAACGCACACCAGGUAUUUAAGGCUUCGACCUGUUUCGCUCCAAUAAUAAAAGAAUUGUUUGAAAAUGAUAUCA